UGUUUCUUUGAUUGCUUGUGGGAGCACCUGAUGGCAGAAAUAUAAUUCCAUUUAUUAGAAGCCGACGGCUUUAUAAAAAUGUGUGAAACAACAGGCGCUAGAGGCAAAGCUGAAGAUUCUAAUGAGGCUAUGGGAGCUGGACUGUAGAGAAGGCAAGACAUUACCACCAGUCCUGUUUGCAUGUCUUUUUAGACACAGAUCAAUCAGAAUCUUCAAAUCAGAUUAUCUCAACCCAUUGCAUGAGUCUUUUUCAUCUGAAAUUAAUGAUGACUUUGCUUUUAACAAGGAAAAGGAAGAAAUGAAAAAAGGAGUGUGUACUGCCAAAACAUUGAUCAGAAGUCCAAAGGAGAACACAGCUUCUUUUAAAGGAAGAAAAAAAAGUGAUAAGAUUGUACUUCAUAUCAACUAUCACUACCAUCUAGCAGUUAACUGAUCUUGAUUUUAUCUAAUCUAAGUGUCAGUACUGAAAGAGAUAACUGGAGGCAUAAAAGAAUAAGGCAUCUGAGAAUCAGAAAUUGAAGCUCUGUGACUAAAAAUGGCCAAAUUAAUAAUCUCAAAGAUUCACAAGGUUUUAGAAGCAGUUCCUGAGGUCCCAUAAUUCCAAAUGUUCACAGAAUAAAUUUCAAAUUGUGAAGAAAUUGAAAUUCAAGAUCAAGUGACUUUCUCAAUAUCAUAUGGAGAGUAUCAUCAAAGGCAAAAGUUGACUCUAAAUCUUUUUACUUCCAAACUUUGAUGGAAGAUCCCUUUGUAUAGGUAAGGAUGAUUGAAACACAAAAAGAAUUUUGGCCCUGGAUGUCUAUGCUGCCGUGAUUGGUGAGAGGCCACUUUAUCUAGAGUUUAGACCAUUCCAGACAAACCAUGCUUUAUACUGGUCAUUCUCUUGCAAUCUGUUCUUGCUAUGGGAAUAGAAUUUGAAGUAAAACUAGUCUUUUUUUUUUUUUCUCAGAAAGGAUGCUGCCCUAUUAAUCACUCUCGGAGAUUAAUAUCCCUUUUUGCUACCACUCCCCUAAAACUA